rnacentral:rRNA from 1 species
GGAUAACCUACCCUUAGGACUGGGAUAACCUUGGGAAACUGAGGCUAAUACCGGAUAGGCAAUUUUUCCUGUAAUGGUUUUUUGUUUAAAUGUUUUUUCGCCUAAGGAUGGGUCUGCGGCCGAUUAGGUAGUUGGUUAGGUAAUGGCUUACCAAGCCGUUGAUCGGUACGGGUUGUGAGAGCAAGAGCCCGGAGAUGGAACCUGAGACAAGGUUCCAGGCCCUACGGGGUGCAGCAGGCGCGAAACCUCCGCAAUGUGAGAAAUCGCGACGGGGGGAUCCCAAGUGCCAUUCUUAACGGGAUGGCUUUUCAUUAGUGUAAAGAGCUUUUGGAAUAAGAGCUGGGCAAGACCGGUGCCAGCCGCCGCGGUAACACCGGUAGCUCUAGUGGUAGCAAUUUUUAUUGGGCCUAAAGCGUCCGUAGCCGGUUUAAUAAGUCUCUGGUGAAAUCCUGUAGCUUAACUGUGGGAAUUGCUGGAGAUACUAUUAGACUUGAGACCGGGAGAGGUUAGAGGUACUCCCAGGGUAGAGGUGAAAUUCUGUAAUCCUGGGAGGACCGCCUGUUGCGAAGGCGUCUAACUGGAACGGUUCUGACGGUGAGGGACGAAAGUUAGGGGCGCGAACCGGAUUAGAUACCCGGGUAGUCCUAACUGUAAACGAUGCGGACUUGGUGUUGGGGGUGGCUUUGAGCUGCUCCAGUGCCGAAAGGGAAGCUGUUAAGUCCGCCGCCUGGGAAGUACGGUCGCAAGACUGAAACUUAA